GGCUUCUCCUCGAGAGGACCGCGGGGAUCCAGGGGCGAGAGGACCGCGGGGAUCCAGGGGAAACCCCUCCGGAGGGAGCGUCCAGCACCGAGCUGGCGACUGGCAGUGUCCCAAUCCGGGAUGCGGAAACCAGAACUUCGCCUGGAGAACGGAGUGCAACCAGUGCAAGGCUCCUAAACCGGAAGGGUUUCUUCCGCCCCCUUUCCCCCCUCCAGGCGGAGACCGCGGUAGAGGCGGCCCCGGGGGGGGGGGAGGUGGGCGAGGAGGUGGCCCCUCAUGGACCGUGGGGGACCCGGUGGCAUGUUCCGAGGCGGCCGCGGUGGAGAGUGAGGCGGAUUCAGAGGAGGCCGGGGUAUGGAUCGAGGUGGCUCCGGAGGAGGCGGACGGCGAGGAGGAGGAGGAGGAGGACCCGGGGGCCCCCCGGGACCCCUGAUGGAACAGAUGGGAGGCGGAGGCCGAGGCGGACGGC